rnacentral:rRNA from 1 species
AACCAGCUCUUCAAGUGGUCGGGAUAAUUAUUGGGCUUAAAGUGUCCGUAGCCGGUUUAGUAAGUUCCUGGUAAAAUCGGGUAGCUUAACUAUCCGUAUGCUAGGAAUACUGCUAUACUAGAGGGCGGGAGAGGUCUGAGGUACUACAGGGGUAGGGGUGAAAUCUUAUAAUCCUUGUAGGACCACCAGUGGCGAAGGCGUCAGACUGGAACGCGCCUGACGGUGAGGGAUGAAAGCCAGGGGAGCGAACCGGAUUAGAUACCCGGGUAGUCCUGGCUGUAAACGAUGCAUACUAGGUGAUGGCAUGGCCAUGAGCCGUGUCAGUGCCGUAGGAAAACCGUUAAGUGUGCCGCCUGGGAAGUACGGUCGCAAGGCUAAAACUUAAAGGAAUUGGCGGGGGAGCACCACAAGGGGUGAAGCCUGCGGUUC